ensembl:lncRNA
UGCAGUUAUUUGCUGUAAAUCUGUCCUGCCAGCACAUGUAUCACUCUGCCAAGUCAAACAGCCUCUAAAUGGCUACAAGUGCUCGCAACACAGCAGGACUCACACUCACAGUCUUCAAAAUGCCUGUUAUUAAUGUUCCUGUAUACAAUAUGAGGUGGUGGAUGUAACUGAGGGUGGAAAUGCUAUCCUAAACUUCACAGCUUCUG